rnacentral:rRNA from 1 species
AACGAACGCUGGCGGCAUGCCUAACACAUGCAAGUCGAACGAGAUCUUCGGGUCUAGUGGCGCACGGGUGCGUAACGCGUGGGAAUCUGCCCUCAGGUUCGGACUCACCAUUGGAAACGCUGGCUAAUACCGGAAGAUGACGUUAAGUCCAAAGAUUUAUCGCCUGAGGAUGAGCCCGCGUAGGUUUAGCUAGUUGGUGUGGUAAAGGCGCACCAAGGCGACGAUCCUUAGCUGGUCUGAGAGGAUGAUCAGCCACACUGGGACUGAGACACGGCCCAGACUCCUACGGGAGGCAGCAAGGGGGAAUAUUGGACAAUGGGCGAAAGCCUGAUCCAGCAAUGCCGCGUGAGUGAUGAAGGCCUUAGGGUUGUAAAGCUCUUUUACCCGGGAUGAUAAUGACAGUACCGGGAGAAUAAGCUCCGGCUAACUCCGUG